rnacentral:rRNA from 1 species
ACACGACUACAUUAGAUACCCCCGUAGUCCCAGCCCUAAACGAUGCGCGUUAGGUGUAUCGGUGACCACGAGUCACCGAGGUGCCGAAGGGAAACCGUGAAACGUGCUGCUUGGGGAGUACGUCCGCAAGGAUGAAACUUAAAGGAAUUGGCGGGGGAGCACCGCAACGGGAGGAGCGUGCGGUUCAAUUGGAUUCAACGCCGGACAACUCACCAGGAGCGACGGUUACAUGAAGGCCAGGCUGAUGACCUUGCCUGAUUUUCCG